rnacentral:rRNA from 1 species
GUGCUCCUACGGGGCGCAGCAGUGGGGAAUAUUGCACAAUGGGGGAAACCCUGAUGCAGCGACGCCGCGUGAGCGAAGAAGUAUUUCGGUAUGUAAGGCUCUAUCAGCAGGGAAGAAAAUGACGGUACCUGACUAAGAAGCUCCGGCUAAAUACGUUCCAGCAGCCGCGGUAAUACGUAUGGAGCAAGCGUUAUCCGGAUUUACUGGGCGUAAAGGGAGCGCAGGCGGUCCGGCAAGUCUGCUGUGAAAGGCGGGGGUCCAACCCCCG